rnacentral:lncRNA from 1 species
GCCCAAAUUUUUUUAUAGGUUGCUCCAGCGCUGCAUUUUUUAUCUUCCGGCGUCAAUCAGAAAUAAGCUGCAACAAGAACCAUCAAAGUCCAGGUGUGCUCGUUCAUCCAACUCGAAGCCUCCCAAGAAGCACGGAUAAGAUUGGGACACUGAUGCAACUUUUGUUUCCUGAGACAGCAGUAUAUCAUAGGCUGAAGAGUAGAUGAGAUCUCUGAUAGCCUUUUUUUUCUUCCGGUGCACCUGUCCCCCUUAUAUUAAUUCCAGCUAACAAUUAUCAUGAUAGGAAGGACAGCAACAUAUUGGCAGCACGGACAAAACAAUAAGAUACACACCU